rnacentral:rRNA from 1 species
UACGGAGGAUUCAAGCGUUAUCCGGAUUUAUUGGGUUUAAAGGGUGCGUAGGCGGUCGGAUAAGUUAGAGGUGAAAUCCCGAGGCUCAACUUCGGAAUUGCCUCUGAUACUGUUCGGCUAGAGAGUAGUUGCGGUAGGCGGAAUGUAUGGUGUAGCGGUGAAAUGCAUAGAUAUUACACAGAACACCGAUUGCGAAGGCAGCUUGCUAGGCCGGAUCUGACACUGAUGCACGAAAGCGUGGGGAUCGAACAGG